CUUGCUGGAAUGCAAAGUGAAUUUCAAACUCAAGGCCACAAUAGCCAAAGAUAACACAGAAUUAAAGGACCACUAUAGUGCCAGGAAAACAAACUCGUUUUCCUGGCACUAUAGUGCCCUAAGGGUGCCCCACCCUCAUGCUUUCCUAUGGACGCUGGCGUCUUCUCACUGUGAAAAUCACAGUGAGAAGCGCCUCUAGCGGCUGUCAAUGAGACAGCCACUAGAGGCUGGAUUAACCCAUAUGUAAACAUAGCAGUGUUAACCCUAGCUGCACCUGGCACCCAGACC